CACUGCACUCUUGCACCACAAGGUUGCAAGUCAUCAGUUACCGAGCUGCAAUAUCAAAUAUUGUUUGUUGUCGAAACAAACGGUUUAGAUCGUAAGACUUGUUUCCCCUUAACGCGUUGUGACUUUGUAAAUGGAAUCUCCAACUUCCACCGCUCUCGCCGAGCCACUCACCGUCGGUGACUACAACUUGACCGAAAAGCUCGGCGGUGGGACGACGUCGACGGUGUGGAAGGCCAAGCACCGGAACACCAGCCAAGUGGUGGCGCUGAAGCAGGUCCGCCUCUCCAAACUCACUCGCCGCCUCAAAACUUCCUUGGACUGCGAGCUCAACUUCUUGUCCUCCGUCAACCACCCGAACAUUGUUCGCCUUCUAGACGUCUUCCACACUGAAGAUUGUGUCUUCUUGGUCUUGGAGUUUUGUGCCGGGGGAACUCUAUCUUCUUACAUUCACCUACAUGGAAGAGUUCAAGAACAAAAUGCCAGAGAAUUUAUGCAACAGCUUGGAGCUGGUUUGAAGGUGCUUAACUCCCAUCAUGUCGUUCACCGAGAUUUGAAACCAGAGAAUGUCCUGCUUUCAAGCCCUCAGAGUGAUGCAGUGCUUAAAAUUGCUGAUUUUGGUCUCUCCCGAAUGAUGCUUCCAAAUGACCACGUUGAGACAGUUUGCGGGUCUCCGCUAUACAUGGCUCCGGAAGUCCUCCAGUUUCAAGAGUAUGAUGAUAAGGUUGACAUGUGGAGCAUUGGUGUGAUUCUUUUUGAACUUCUGCACGGCUACCCACCCUUUUGUGGUAGAACGAAUGUUCAGCUUCUGCGGAAUAUCCAGUCAUGUACGUGCCUUCCAUUUUCGAAGCUCAUCCUUCCAGGGUUGCACCCUGAUUGUGUUGACAUGUGUUCGAGACUAUUGUCUAUCAAGCCAGAAAACCGUUUGUCUUUUGAUGAGUUUUAUCGGCAUGAGUUCUUAAGAGUGAGAGGGCCCAGCGGUCAAGGCUAUUCAUGAAGAACCCAAAUCCUCCAACUUAUGCAGAAAUGGUGAUUGCGUGGAUGUUGAACUCGCGAAAACUUCUUUUGCAAGAUCGAUUUUCAAGUAUCAAAAUUCAUUCACUUCCAUGUUCUUCGGUAUAAUCACCGUUUCUCUGUGCUAAGCCAUUAUAAUAAGAUUGAAUGAAGUGGUCGCAGAUCUUUCCCUACUGCUUAUAGUUAUUGAUAUGGACUAAUGUUUACUUCUUAUCUUCAUCUAAGUACUGAGAGGUUAGAGCUUCUGGUGGAUCAAUCGCCAUAGGUGGCUGGAUUGGUGUUUUUGUUGGCAUUUCUUCCGUGAUCGAGCAGUGCCGAAAUUCCUAGAACUGUUGAAAUCGAUCUGACGGAUUCUUAAUUGAUCAAACUCUGCUGGGUUAUGUCAGGAAGCUAGAUGACAGCCAAAAAAUCGGAGUCCAUUGUCAUUUGGGUUGCCAUGCUUCUCCCUGUUUCUGUGAAGAGGAAUUGCUUUCAAGCUUUGUAUGAUUUAAUUUCAUGUGAAAAUCGGUAUAACCACGAUGAUUGAUCUCGUGGUAUUUCUUAAUCUGAGUAUCUCAGGCACAAUCCUGCAGCUGCUCCAUUCUUUUCCUUGGUGGGUGUGCAGAAAAGGCUGAAACUAAUGGUACUGGUUUUCUUUGUUUAUAUGUCACGACAUUCUUUCAGUAAAGAAUGUCGAGAUGGCAAUUACAGAAAGCAAGUGACACUGGUUUACUCACUUAAGUGCAAUGGUCUCGGCGACAUACUGGUUUAUCUGGAAUGAAGGGUUACCCAGUUAUCAAAUUAUCAUGACUUUGACACAUUGAGCCAUGGUCUUGCGAUGGGGUCAUCAGUUUGCUGAAUAUGAAGUUGCACAUUUGUUAGACGGAUCAUUUAAUGGCAUUUUGGUAUUCCUGGAUGACAUUGGACAUGUUUUCAAUUAGGAAACAGAGAAGAAAAUAACAAAAUAAAGAAACCCUUACCCAGAUGUUGAUUACCAAGAUGUUUGUUAAUCAUCUUGGGUCAGUUCUUGGUAGCCUGAUCUCUAGAUUUCAGAAUGGUUUUGUGCCUUCGCGCGCCAUUUCAGAUAAUAUUGUGAUUUCUCAUGAGACUUUGGAGUUCAUCCGGAAGAAAAGGAGUGGCAAGAAGUUUUUUGCGUUGAAGUUGGAUAUGGAUAAAGUGUAUGACAGAGUUAGCUGGGAUUUCUUGCUCAAUAUGGUUCGGGUUAUGGGUUUUAGUCAAAGGUGGGAAAAUUGGAUCAGAUCAGGCAAUGAUUUACCACGGUCUCCUUCUCUGUUGUGGUUAUUGCCAUUGGGAAUAGAUCAAGGUCGUUUGUACUGACUUGUGGGAUUCAUCAGGGAGAUCUUCUUUCGCCAUAUUUAUUUAUCCUGGUAGCUCAAGCACUUUCAGAUGGUCUAGCAGAGUUUGCCUCCAAUAAGGUGUGCAGGAGAGUUGCUGUAAGUCCUCGUUCUCCUUGCAUUUCACAUCUUUUGUUUGCGGACGACUGUUUUAUCUUUAUGGAAAAUGGUAUGGAUCAUGCUUGGUGUCUUAAACUGCUUCUUGAUAUUUAUUGUGACCAGGCGGGUCAGAAAAUCAAAUUUGUUAAGUCUAAGUUAUUUGUGAGUCCUAAUAUGCAGAUAAGGGAUGUGGAAUGGUUACAACGUAUUUUCGGUGUCAAAUGUGUUGAUAAACCUGGUAUUUACUUGGGGGCUAAUUUAGAUUUUACUUGUCAGAAAGGGAGUCUUUUUUCUCGUGUGAUGGAUCGGAUUCAAGUUAAGUAAUUGGAAGGCUCCUUUGUUACCUUUUGCGGCUAGAUUGGUUUUGGCUAAGCAUGUUAUGCUGACCAUACCCAUUUAUUUGCUUUUGGUGCUUCGAGCUCCUGUGUAUUUUAAAUAAGGUUAAAAGUGUUGUUACUCAGUUUUUUGUGGCAUGGUGAGAAGGACAAGGGUUUCGUAUAGCGGAAAUGGAAUAUUUGCUGUCUGCCUAAGAGUAAGAGUGGGUUAGGUUUGCGAGAUUUAGCUUGUUUGAAUCGGCGUUGCUCGCUAAGAUGGCUUGGAGGAUUUUUAAAAAUCCUGAUUCAUUGCUUUCAUCAGUUUUGCUGGAAAAUAUUGUUCUUGGAAUGAGUUUUUGGAUGGUAAAGCUGUUUCUAAUUCGUCAUGGGGCUGGAGAAGCAUUCUAUGGGGAGAGAAGCUGUUAAGAGAAGGAUUAAAAUGGAGAGUGGAUAGUGGGACUAAGAUAGAUAUCUUCAAGGCGGAAUGGAUCCCUAAACUCCAGAAUCCUUAUGCUGGAAGGGAUAUGUCUCAGCAUUUUAGUAGUUUUAAAGUGGCAGAUUUGUUUGAUCAGAGUUCUAGGGAGUGGCGAGCUCCUUUGAUUUCUAUGUUUUGUCUGAGAGAGGUAGCUCAGAAAAUUCUGGAGUGUAUGUACCAGUUUCUACUAUUGAGGAUGAGGUUACUUGGGAGCACACUAAAAAUGGCAUUUUUUCAGUCAAGUCGGCAUAUUUGUUUCAAUUUUCGAGAACUCAUGGUCAAGCUUUUGAGGAGGCUAAGAGUUUGUUUGGGCCAUGGGGGAAAGUUUGGGGUCUGGGUUUGCCGCCAAAGUUUUAGUUUUUCAUCUGGAAGGUUUUGCAUAGAAUUUUGGCUGUCAAGGAUGCUUUGCUUAGAAGGAAUAUUAGUGUUGAUCCGUGUUGUCCAUCGUGCGAUCAAAACUUGGAGAUGAUUGAGCAUUUGUUUCUCCAGUGCUGGUUUGCUAAGAGGUUGUGGAGGGCAUCACACUUGGGUUUUAACUUUGAUGUGGAAAUGCCAGUCUCGUUUGGGGUUUGGUUUGAUGGGUGGAUAUUGAUGGUGCCUCUUAAGUAGUUGAUUUGGGAUUCGGUUUUUACAUUGUGGUGUAUUUGGUGGUGCGUAAUGAUGCCUUAUUUCAAAGUGCUAAUUGGGAAUCGGUUAAUGUUUUCGAUAAUGCGUUGACCUGUUUUUCAGGUCACAGGAAUUUAUACAGGUCGGUUAAGAAGAAGUGUGGGUUUCAAGAUGUUCUUGAACCCGGAGCUGGCCAUGGGUCUGUCAUAAGGAGUCCCAAUUUGCAGUCUGUGUUCAAAUUUGCAGUUUGUGUUCAAAGGUGGAGAAAUGGAGGUGCUGGGCUUUAAGUUUUUUCUCACGUAUGGGGCUUGGCAUGCUAGUUCGGGUUGUGGGGUAAUGGCUUGGGUUCAGGUGGAUGAGGGUGGUCAAGAGGUGGCGCAUCAUGUAGCUAAAUGUAAUUCUUCUUCUGUGGUAUUGGUAGAGAUCGGACCUACUCACCUUGCUUGUAGACCAGCCUCGAUCUCUUGAUGAACUCUCGGCUGAGGCUGGUUUAUUGGUGCUGGAGUGGGCAUUACAGUGCGGUUUUUUGGAAGUUUGCAUCCGUGCUGAUUUUUGUGGCUUUUGUGAAGGGGCUUUUUGGGCCCGAAGAAGCUGACUGUUAUUUGCAAUCUGCUCUUAUGGACUUUUGUUCUUCAUGUACUUGUUUUAAUGUUGUAAAAGUAGUUAAGGUGGAUAGAAAUGUGGUUAAGCCUGCUCACGUAAAAGGCCAGGGCAGUUAUGUUGGAGGAAAAUGAUAUUGGCACUCCAAAAAUUGAUUCUGACAUUCCGAAAUCAGUAUAAUUCCAAAGCACUUUCUUUUAUUUUUUGGAGUGUUUGCAUCAAUUUUUGGAGUGUCAAUGGCUUUGUUCGGUUAAUCUUUUAGUUUUAGUUUAGUUUUUAAUCAUUACCUUAUUUUUUUUCUCUAAUCAA